AUCUUAUGUCCGACUCAUUGGUUCAAUCUACACACAUCUGCUGUCAAGGAUUUUUUUUUUAAAGAAUUUUUUAUUUGUAUCUUGCAGUAAUGGUGCAAAUUAUCCAGCAAUUUUCAAACACCAACUGAGACAACUGUUUAAAAAAGGUUUCAUUGUACACACCGUUGAACCUCAUCAUAAAAACAUUAGGUGUUGUAAAAUUGAUGCAGGAAUGAAUUACAGAGUGGUACUUAGAUUGGGCUGAGAAUACUUUUUUAUUGGACCAUUCAUUGCAGUUUCACCUUUUUCAUUGAGGACCGAACACGAUGCUCUCCAAGAAACAGGAGGCCUAUUUAAUGACUGGAAAGAAAAGAGAAGCUGGGUUACAGCUUAGCUGGUCAGUUUUUUUCCAGAAUACUCAGCUGGUUAAGACUGCCUGACAUAAAUCCAAUAUAUCAAUGUUUCAAACUUUGGUUAUAGUAGAUUCCGAACUAAAUGACCCAUAUCAUGAGAUGCUCCUCACAGGCUUCUUUUAAGAGCUCAAUAACUGACAAAUACUGCCAGCUUUAGGCCUAAUCCUAACCUUAUCUGGUGCUAUAUAUCAGUAAUUCCUCUACAAAAAGCAGACACCAUUUUAAGACCACAAAAGUUGAAAGUCCACUAAGUAGCUACACACUUUUAAAUUCUGUCUUUCUGAAAACUACAAUCGGCUAUUGAAUUGCAGUCCCAUAACCAUAAGUGUUAAUAGGCUGUUCAAACUACCAUGCGGCUAUCAGUGGCUGCCCGCAUCCAGUUCAAAACAUUGGUACUCACACUGUAAGACUUUAAUGUAAAUUUACAGUGAAAUUUAAACCGUUACCUACUGUAUUGUGAGAUUACAGUAUACUGCUGCAAAAGCGAGGCAUUCUGGGAGUUAUAACGCUUGCUUCCAUUAUCCACAGCUAAGUGUGGCUGGGUACUGCUAAGAAUCUAAAGAAAGUAACAUAUAUUCAUUUUGAAGUAAGCUUAAAUAAUGAGGUGCCAGAGCUGAGUUUUGCAAUCCCUUUCAAUUCCUCAAAAAUGUUGCAGCUGUUCAUUUGGCUUUAAAAUGUCAAUUAUAUAGAGAUUAUCCAGGUCAGAGGGAGUCAAGACUGAAGGAAGCAACCUUCCUUGCCGGCACCAGGACAUUCACGUUAGAUCAGGGGUCUCAAACUCGCGGCCCGCUGGCCAAUUGUGGCCCUCGGGACGAUAUUUUGUUGCCCCCACCUUAAUAUGAAAGUUUAAUGUUAGUGCGGCCCCAUGAGUUUUAUAUUGUAGAAAUCCCGCUGUUAGCUGCUGUGUGGGACAAUGUUAUGAUUUUCUGGUUUCCUUGCGUGUGCGUGUGAGAGUGAGUGAGUGAGAGAGAGAGAGCCGGGAGUGAAAAGAGUGGCUUUGGUUGUGUGGAGAGCAGCACACUUAUGCCACUUACAACCCCCCCCGCGCUGUACCGUAAAGUGUGACAGUUUGUUUAUCUCACUUGAAGACUCAUAUUAAAGAGGGAAGACCAGUCUUAUGUCCAUUCCAAAACUGUGGUAAAGUUUUUACUGUGAUAUCCCCAUUUUCAUCAGACUUAAACACAUAAACGUGCAGUUGAUAAUGUUUUAAGCCCGACAACGUCAGAUAGAGGAAAUGUUAAUGGAGAGAAUACUGUUGAGCAAGCAGGGUGCUCUCAUGAAGAAGCAGAGGCUUCCAAUGUUUAUGAUGACCUAGAAAGAGACCAGAAAGAAGUGUUUCCAGAAAGCACAGAUGGGCCACUUUUCCUGAAGAACUUAGCUUGAAGUUUAAGGUAAAAUAAAGCAAAGUUAUUACUGUCUGUUGUUAAUCCUGUGAAGUUAAUUGGACAUUCUGUCCAGAAAUGAAUGCUACUCAGGGUUCUGCCAGUCUUGAUAGGGGACAAGAUUCAAAGUCCAGUUGAAAAGGAAGUGUGGCAACUUGUAUUACAGCUUAGACAAAUUGUUGAGCUAAUUUGAUAGCUUACUUGAAAGUACUGAUAGAGGAGUACAUUGUUAGUAGUGUCCUGAAUGUUAUUUGCACAAGAUGUGACCAAACCUAGGGAAAGUAAGCAUUUUAAUCAAUAAAUAUAGCACCAUUCUCACAUAUAUUUGCCAGAAGCUGUCGUGGAAUUAACCCGGAGAGAGGUACAAAGGCACAUUAAGGAACGGGGACAGCAAAAGGAGCGGUAAAAUGGUCCAAAUAACCAACAUUCCUGAAUCCCCAUGUGUACACCCUCUUAAGGAAGCUCAUGGAUUUUGAGUGUGACUAUGUAUGACUACCCUGACUCAGUCCAUAGAGUUCAGAACCCCCUCAAACACACACACACAAAUCCUUAUCCAUAUUUCAGUCAUUCACUCACUGACCACCCAACUAUGUCUGUGUCUCACUCAUUCACAUUGCUUUUUGUAUUUAUAUGGGAUAUUUUUUAUUUGAUUCUCUUCAUAAUUUCUCAACUUAUAUAAGUCAAAAUGGAUUGGAUAUGUUAUUCUGGCUUGAAUAUUUGAAUUUGUUAUUUGGAUAUUAUUUUUCAAACUUAUACUAUUCUAAUAAACAAGUUGUAAAUAGGCUGUUGUUGGAAAUUAUAAACAAGUUGUAAAUAGGCUGUUGUUGGAAAUUAUUAUUUUUCAUAUUUGUUCAAUUUUAGAGAUGCCUCACAGUUAAUGUUAUGUGGUAACGAGCGGACACUGAAAGCCAUUUUGAAUCAACAAGUUAAAUUGUACAGCAUCUUACAAGUGAAACUGUUAACAGUAAUGUGUUGUACCUUUUUGUAAUUACACCAUUUUACAUUUCUAUUACAAUAACGGACUUUAUUUCUCUGUCACUGUAAAUUUGACAGUAUCUUACAGCUGAAACUACUGCCAGUAAGUUACUGUAACUUUACAGUAAAAGGUUUUACAGUUCACGUACCAUGCUGUGAAAGGAUUGGGUCCAGUCUACAUUCAGGACAUGGUCUCAUCCAAUUCAAUUCAAUUCAUUUUAUUUUGUAUAGCCCAAAAUCGCAAAUUACAAAUGUGUCUCAGAGGGCUUUACAAUCUGUACACAUACGACAUCCUCUGUCCCGAAACCCACCAUCGCCACAGGAAAAACUCACCAAACAAUGAAAAAAUCCUUCCAAGAGGGAAAAAAAGGGAAGAAACCAUAGGGAGAACGUCAGAGCAGGGAUCCCACUCCCGGGAUGGACAGACUACAAUGGAUGCCAUGUGUACAGAAUGAACAAUGUAAAAUACAUGCAAUUCCUAUGACAGAAAUGAUUCAAGUAAUUGUGAGUAGUAAGCCAGGCGCACAGCAGGACCACUGCAGGGACCACCACCAUCAGAUAGAACCACCAUCCACAGAAGCCUGUGGGGAGGAAGAGCACAGAGACUUAAGGAGAGGGUAAUGUUGGUUUACGAGUACAGUAAUAUGAUUAAUAUCUAAAAUAAUAAUGAUGAUUGCAGCAGCAGGCGUCAGCACGGCCACGGCAGGUGUCAGGACCAGGGUCCAGAAGGAACUACAAUCUAUGGAGACCUGCUAGGGGAGAAAGCACAAAAAACUCCCGGAAAGAAGCUGAAUUAGUCAUGUGCAUUAAUAAAAUGUGAAUUAUUGUAGAACGAGAGCGUGAGAGAGGAGCUCAGUGUGUCCUAAGAAGUCCCCCAGCAGUCUAAGCCUAUAGCAGCUUAACUAAGGGCUGGUCCGGGCUAACUUGAGCCAGCCCUAACUAUAAGCAAAAUAAAAGAGGAAAGUUUUAAGCUUUACUUUAAAAGAGCUGACCGAAUCUGCCCCCCGGACUGAAAGUGGAAGCUGGUUCCACAAAACAGGAGCUUGAUAACUGAAGGCUCUGGCCCCCAGCCUACUUUUUAAAACCAUAGGAACAACAAGUAACCCAGCAUGUAUUGAGCGCAGCUGCCUUGUAGGGCAAUAAGGUGUUACAAGCUCUUGAAGAUACGACGGUGCCUCACCAGCAAGUGCCUUGUAGGUGAGGAGAAGUACAUUUUAAAAUCUAUUCUUGAUUUAACAGGGAGCCAGUGCAGAGAAGUUAAUACAGGAGUAAUAUGAUCCCUUUUCUUAGUUCUUGUUAAUACACGUGCUGCAGCAUUCUGAAUCAACUGGAGAGGCUUAAGGGAUUUACAAGAGUAGCCGGAUAACAAAGAAUUACAGUAGUCCAGUCUUGAAGUGACAAAUGCAUGAACUAAUUUUUCUGCAUUACUUUGAGACAGGAAGUUUAUGCAUUGUUUCCUGAUAAGAUCGCCCAAAGAAAGCAUAUAGAGGGUAAAUAAAACCGGUCCAAGUACAGAACCUUGUGGGACUCCGUGACCAACAUUGG
ensembl:lncRNA